rnacentral:rRNA from 1 species
CGGAGGAUCCGAGCGUUAUCCGGAUUUAUUGGGUUUAAAGGGUGCGUAGGCGGCCUGUUAAGUCAGGGGUGAAAGACGGUAGCUCAACUAUCGCAGUGCCCUUGAUACUGAUGGGCUUGAAUGUACUAGAGGUAGGCGGAAUGUGACAAGUAGCGGUGAAAUGCAUAGAUACGUCACAGAACACCAAUUGCGAAGGCAGCUUACUAUGGUAUUAUUGACGCUGAGGCACGAAAGCGUGGGGAUCAAACAGGAUUAGAUACCCUGGUAGUCCACGCCCUAAACGAUGAAUACUCGAUGUUAGCGAUAUACAGUUAGCGUCAAAGCGAAAGCGUUAAGUAUUCCACCUGGGGAGUACGCCCGCAAGGGUG